GAUGAACGCUGGCGGCGUGCCUAAUACAUGCAAGUCGAGCGAACGGACGAGAAGCUUGCUUUUCUGAUGUUAGCGGCGGACGGGUGAGUAACACGUGGAUAACCUACCUAUAAGACUGGGAUAACUUCGGGAAACCGGAGCUAAUACCGGAUAAUAUUUUGAACCGCAUGGUUCAAAAGUGAAAGACGGUCUUGCUGUCACUUAUAGAUGGAUCCGCGCUGCAUUAGCUAGUUGGUAAGGUAACGGCUUACCAAGGCAACGAUGCAUAGCCGACCUGAGAGGGUGAUCGGCCACACUGGAACGGAGACACGGUCCAGACUCCUACGGGAGGCAGCAGUAGGGAAUCUUCCGCAAUGGGCGAAAGCCUGACGGAGCAACGCCGCGUGAGUGAUGAAGGUCUUCGGAUCGUAAAACUCUGUUAUUAGGGAAGAACAUAUGUGUAAGUAACUGUGCACAGCUUGACGGUACCUAAUCAGAAAGCCACGGCUAACUACGUG
rnacentral:rRNA from 1 species